rnacentral:rRNA from 1 species
UACGAAGGGGGCUAGCGUUGCUCGGAAUCACUGGGCGUAAAGCGCACGUAGGCGGACUCUUAAGUCAGGGGUGAAAUCCUGGAGCUCAACUCCAGAACUGCCUUUGAUACUGGGAGUCUUGAGUUCGGGAGAGGUGAGUGGAACUGCGAGUGUAGAGGUGAAAUUCGUAGAUAUUCGCAAGAACACCGGUGGCGAAGGCGGCAUCCUGGACCGGCAUUGACGCUGAGGCG